UCAUUUCUCUUCUCAAUUAUUUGUAUAUUCAAUUGAUUUUAAUGCAUAUUAAUUUCUGAAUAAUUGCAUUUAAUUUAUUCUUUAGCCUUUUCAUUUUUUUAUGCUCUAUAUAUACAUACAGAAGUCAAUCUUCUUCAUAAUAUAGAUUUCUUAGUCUUUUUUGCUUUUAAUUUUUUAGUAUGAUGUAUUCUCUUGUUUCAGAGUUGGUUACUGAUAGAGAUGAUUUGAUGAUAAGGGUUAGGAUUUGUAGAAUAUGGGAUGCCAUAAAUUCCAAAAAAAAAUGGGAAAUUGAUUAGUUUGGAUAUGAUAUUUGUCGAUGAAAAGGUACCUCAUCAACAUAAUUCUUACUCCUUAUACAAAUAUUUCCAAAACUCUUGAUUAAAAAUUCACAUGUUUUGAUAUAUCAGGGCAAUUUGGCAUAUGCUAUAGUCUAAAAAAAUCACGUUAGCAGGUUCAAGCACAAGUUAACAGAAGGUUCAUUGUUUAUCAUCAAAAACUUCAAAGUGGUUGAAAGUAGUGGUGUAUAUAGACCAGUUGAAAACUCUUUAAAAAUAAUUUUCUUUCCCUCAACCGUGAUCAAGAGUUUAUCUAAAGAUAUUGUUCAUAUUCCUAUGAACAGAUUUCAUUUUAUAAAAUCAGAAUUAAUUGAGCCAAGGGUGAACAAUAACACGCUCUUAUUAGGUAUAUAUAUAUAUACACUCUUUUCAUUUUCAAAUUUUACAAAAUUGUUCAAUUUCAACGUUUUCAACACACACUUUUUCUUCUUCAUUUAUAGAUGUGGUGGGUUGUUUAUAUGGAGUUGGUGAUAUGGAGAGCGCUGGAUCAAAGUGGAGAAAAUGAGACAUCCAAAUUGAUACUGAUUAAUAAGUCACCCAUUUCAUAUUAAGUAGUUUUAUUUUUUGUCUUCCUAAAAGAGUGUUACUUUGAAAUCAUACAUUAAUCUUUUUAAACAAUUACAUGUAAAUGAACUAUCAUAUUCUUAUUUUUUCUUUUCCUGGAUAGUUUGGCAAAGUCAAAAAUAACCUUAUGGGAUGAUUUGGGAGAGAAGUUUGCUCCUUAUUUUCACAACAAGGAUUCUGGGCCAUAUAUUGUGAUUGCGAAUUCCACAACUCUUAAAGAAUUUUGUGGUGAAGUUACCUUCUCUACCACAUAUGCUAGCAAAGUAUAUGUGAACCUUGAUAGAGAUUGCACACGAUCUUUGAAGCAAAAGUUUUCCACCAUAUCCACGGGAGUCCAAGUUAUUGAAAGCUCUAAUAUUAAUAUCAUUCCAAUAGAGGAAGAGAUGUUUUAUCAACUGGAUGAACAUUAAGAAUUUGUUGGAAUCUAAUUGGAGUGCUGACAUACAGGAAUGCAUUGUUACAGUAAGGAGCAAAAUUACAGACAUAAUAAACUAUUUUAGAUGGUACUACAUUUCAUGCAAUGUAUGCUUGAAGAAGAUUACACCGGUAAAUGGUGUUUAUCCAUGCUUCAACUGCAACAAAUAUUGCAAGUUUUCUUUGGUGAAGUAAGGAUCCUGGAAGGACUAUGAAUUUGCUUUGUAUUACUAAUUAAUGUUAACUUAUUUUUACAAAUAUAGGUACAAUAUACACGUACAAGUGGAAGACAAUAUCGGAAAAACUACUUUUGUCUAAUUCAAUGAUGUGGCUGAGAAACUCCUUGAUAUAUCAGCUCACAAGUUAUUUAACAAGCUAUCAUCGUUAGAUAUCAAUGAUAUUCCUGCCCACAUUCAAAUCCUUUGUGGGAAAGAUUUUAUUUAUAAGCUUAAAUUAAACAGUUACAAUUUAAAAG